GAGCAACACUGUAACUGACGAACAGUAAAUCUCCGUCUCUCGCUGCUGUUUUCACUGCUUUCAGAAAUGUUUUACAGUCUUCGAAAAGUCUGCUAGCAUCUGUUUUCAGACGAGGAGUGAUAAUAUAAUCUUUUUACAAAGGAAGAGAAGCUCCAAGAUUUCAACAUUUCUGAAGGGAGCUGCUGACAGAAAUGCAGAAAAAACAGAUUAUGAUGGCCGUGCAGCAGAGGAGCGCAGAGUCUCCCGUCGGACAGCAUCUCUAAGUCGGUAUGAACCAUGUGACUAGAUGCUAUGUACCCAGCCUCAACCAUUCAUCAGAAGGACUGUGAAAGCGGGAACUCUUUGAACCACCAGUGGCAGUUUCCACAGGAUGAAAAAGGGCAUAGUAGUGGAUGAUGAGGUCCUGAGACCAUAUGGGGUGAAGAUCAAGACAACCAAACCAAAGGUGGACUGUAACCUACUGGACUAUAUGAUAGACUUCACACUGACCACUACUGCCAUGUAUGCAGCAUGAAAAGUUCUUGAAAAGAGGGGCAUUUCCUUCACCAAGUAAAAGUGUGGAGGAUUCAUCUGGCCUUCAUCGACCCUCAUGAGGUGACUCGAUGUAGAAUAAAUCAGCUUGCUUUAGGCUUGAAAUGACUGAAAUCUUCUCGUGAGUUGAUAUCAUUUUAAACAUUCUUUAAAGUACUUCUCAUUUCUUGUGAAUGUAUUUUGUAGUAUGUGUAAAACUUUUCCAAUGAAAGAACCUUUUUUACCGUUAUUGAUAUUGUAAUCAAGGUUGUUAAUGCGAUGGACUGCACACAUCUGUCUGUGUUGGGCUUGUGUUUACAGGUUGUAUAAAACUAGGCCUGGCUGCAACAACUAAUCGAUAAUUAAAAUAAUCAUCAACGAAUUUGAAUAGUGCAUCAAAACAAACAGACCGCUCAUAAUUCUGACUAAAAUACACAUUUUGCUCAAAUAUUUUUUUGUCAGAAAUUAAGUGUAGGUUUAAAACAAUAUGUUAAUUUGAUUAUUGAUGUAUCACAGCUGUUAUUGUGGUCCCUUUGUUUGUAUUGCCCGGUCGAGUGUUGUGUCCUCUGUUUUCUUCUCGCGAGAGUUCGCUCGCGACGUGCAAGGGGAAUCCCGUGACGUCAUCCUGAUCAUCUGAUUUUGCACUUCCGAUAAAAGAAGCCGGUUGAGGGUCGUUCGAGAGUGACGUUCUUCGUGCUCAAAUGGAAACACAGCGAUCGAUCGCCUAUUCUACUUUCCGCUGUUUAGGACUGUGACACAGAGUUUCUACCUUGUGGAAAUAACCGUUUUGGUGGGAUUAUUUUGCCUUGGACUUCGUCACAGAACAGCGCUGCUCCUUAACGUGCUCCCGGACUAACAAAGUUUCACCGGUGAGACCGAAACAUACACACACACACACACACCUCCAUUGGACUUUUAUGGGCAUUUACACCCAUGCGUUCUUGUACAUAUGUAUACAUUUUGUCUUGCAUCUUUUUGUAUAAUACACUCCGGGUUGGCAUUUAUUCCUUGUUUUGUUGCUCAUUUUACCUGCAUUCAGUUAAACACAAUAGUUAAAGAGAUAACCGGACAAUUCUAUUUGUGUAGCCUGCCUUAUUUCGGCCGAGCGUUACAAUAUAAUAUAAUUGCUCUGUUCAGACGAAUGAUUGUGUUUGUUCCUCGUACCUCUUACAAGUUAACAUUUUUGUUUAAAUUGUUUUAAAUUCUGUUUCAAAAUAACAAGCAAUCUGUUGUUUUUAGGUUUAGAAUGUAAUGUUUGUAUUUUAACACUUUAAUGUUUAUAAUGUACAGCAGAGCCUACAUAGAGACAUUCAUUAUAUUUGUUUUCAUAGACAGGAUGUGAAAUGACAUUCUUUAAAAUAAUGAAUAAUGAAAAUAAUUACAAUUAUUUUAAUUAAAAAAUAAUGUAUAUAUUUUAUAUUUAUUUUUUUGUCAUCCAAUUACUAGUAUUAAUAAAAAAAAUCUACAGAUAAAUUGAUUAUCAAAAAAAAAUUAGUUGCAUGCAGCCCUACAUAAGAUAUUGUUAAAGAGGUCAGCGGUAUAAUGUUGUGUGUGAACACUAAGUCAUGUUUAUUUGUGCAACAUGUAAUUAAUUUCUAUAGAGAUAAUGCAUUAUUACAGUGAAACAAUUUGCUAUUUUUAUUUUGUAAAUUAGCAGAAAACCAUCUCUACCACUGCAGUGCUUUAUCACUAUUUUUAAAUAGUUAUAGUUCAUAGUUCUGAAUCAUUUUGACAUGUGACAAC